UGCCAGCUUCAUCUGCCUCCCACUCCUUCA
rnacentral:piRNA from 1 species